GUACAAUGUGAUGUUUUGAUAUGUAAAUGUCAUGGAAUGGUUAAAUGAAGCUGUUUAACAUAUUCAUUAUUUCACAUACUUACCCUCUUCUUCUGUGGUAAGAACACUUAAAACCUACCGAAAUUUUUUAGUCCUUUGGCCAAUAUCUGCCCAAUCCCUCCACUCCCCAGUUUUUGGUAACCACCAUUCAACUCUCCUCUUUCUAUGAGUUCAACUUUUUGCACUCAACUUACAUGUGAGAUCAUGCAGUACUUACCAUUCUAUACUGGCUUAUUUAACUUAGAAUGAUGUCUACCAGGUUCAUUUAUGUUGUCACAGAUAGAAUUUUUCUUUAUAUAUUAAGGCUGAGUAGUAUUCUGUUGUGUAUAUACAUCACAGUUUCUUUAUCCAUCCUUCAUUGAUUCUUGGCUAUUGGGAAUAGUGCUGCAAUGAAUGUGAAAGUGCAGAUAUCUUUCACAUACUGAUUUCAUAUCCUUUGAAAGUAUGCCCAUGAUAUAGUUUGACUUUGUGUUCCCAACCAAAUCUCUCAUCAAAUUGUAAUCCCUACAUGUUGGAAGAGUGGGCUGGUGAGAGGUGAUUGCAUCAUAGGGGAGGACUUCUCUCUUGCUGUUGUCAUGAUAGUGAGUGAGUUUUCAUGAGAUCUGCUUGUUUGAAAGUGUGUAGCACCUUCCCCUGCUCUCUUUCUCUUUUCUGCUACCAUGUGAAGAAGAUGCUCACUUCCCACUCUCCCAUAAUUGUUUUCUCAGCUGUGAUGGAAACCUCACUGUGUGAACAUUGUCACUUGAGCCCAGGUCCACAUUGCUUCCCUGGGACCUGAGGGGCAAGAAAAAUUGAUGUGAACAUGAAUCACAUGCUGCCUUCUGUGCUGUGAGUAAAAGUCCUUUGUAUCUGACCCAGGACUCUCCUGUCUUCUUCCACCAUCUUUAAAACUUCAGCAGACUUCCUUGCUGGUUUGUACAUAGGACAAAAUCCCAAACCCUUCAAGGCUAUCAAUCCUUCCAAUUAUGACUUUUCUCCUUUGUAUAUUUCAUCACUUUAAUCACUGGUCAUUUCAUUCUUUCUUUAUAUCUUUAUUCUAUAUUGUCUUAUUUUUUUAUUCUUAUUUUACUCUACCUGACCUCAACCUCAAUAUAUAAAUACAACACCCCAUAUGGGACUUGGCACAUAAUCUGUAUAUGUGGAAUCAACUAAUACAUUUAACAGUUUCUAUCUCUAAAGAGCAUUUCUCCCUGAGUUUAUCACUGACAACUUAAAUUAGAUGUACAUAAUGUUAGUUAAUUCAGUGUUGGGUUCCAAUUGUUAAUUUCCUUUUAAAUUGUAGGAUGUAGAAUUGAUUAUAGCAAUUUUAUGAACUAUGUUUUUCAAGAAGGGUUUUCCACACCAUUUCCUUCUUUCUAGGGGAUUUUUUUUCUCUCUCUUCCUUUUGAUGUACGGGGCCAUUUAAGUCCUCCAUGCAUUUCUGGAAAACUAAAAACCCAAAUCUAAGCCUGUUGAACCUCUUGUCACACAAGUAUUUGAAAGAAUGAUACUUAAGGGAAAUAGAAAAUGACACUUUUCCCCUCAUCUUUUGAAGACGAAAUGAUCCACCCCCCUUCAAUUCUACCAAAGGAGAUUCCCAGCUCAUUUUCCUUAGCAAGAGCUUUAAAGUGUAAAAAACUCAUCAAACAUCUUUUCCUCAGAGACAAUGUCAUCUGAGUUCAAAGGAUGUAUACAGCUUUGCAAAACUGCUGUCUUGUUUCAAUGAUAAGGCCUUGGCUUUCAUUUUAUGUUUGAUUCUGAGAAAAUCAAAUCUGUUUUUAUGUACACUAUGACCAUAACUAAAUCAGAAAAUUAAGAGAAAUAAUCUAUUUCUGUAGAUAGCUGGGGGCAGGGAGAAAGUUUCCACUUUAAAAAAAUCCUAUAAUGAUUCUUCAGCUGGGUUACAUUUUUACUCUCUAAAAUAUGCUUGAUAAUGUAAACUGAAAACAUGUAUUUAUCCUUCUUUACAAUAAAGAAAAUAUCUGUUGUGGCUCUUGGGAAACA
rnacentral:lncRNA from 13 species